CCGUGCCAUGCUGACUAUACCGGUUCUCGUUAGAUCACCGAAGUCAAGCAUCAUUGGGCGUGGUCAGUACUUGGGUGGGUGACCCUGGGAACACCGCGUGCC